UUUGCCCGCCUCCCCUCUCCCUCCCUCCCUCCAAGACCCAAACCCUAAGCCCCCCAUCCGCCGCCACCACCACCUCCCUCCAAUCUAGCACACCUUUCCUCUCUGCAUCGCGCCCAGCCGAUUCCCCACCAUCUCGUCUCACGAAUCCCCUGACCCAGCGACGAUUGCGAUGGAGAUCAACAUCCACGCCGACGUCUGCUCCACCCUAGCAAGAUCCACGGUGAGGGGAACGCGCCUCCCGGUGGCGGCGAUGGCAUCAGCAGCGGUGGCGGAGUCGGAGGGCCGGCGAGCGGAAGCUGGGCUUCGGGAUUGCCCACCUGCUUUCCCUAGAUGCAACUUGUCAUCGACAACGGCAGGCUCUCCCUUUCCUCCGGCGAUAGGUCCUUGCACGCUCACAUCGCGCGGCCCCUCCACCUCCUCGGUCGCAGCUUAUGAGCAGGGGCGCCGUGCAAUCAAAGCCACCGACGAACGACACCUGACGCUGACUAGCUGCGUGGGCAGCCAAUACCACAACCCCAUCCUCUAUGCGUAGAUCCGUCCACCCCCGUCCUCGGCGACGCCGAUCCGGCCUCCACGGAUCUCGUGUGCCCCGCCAGCAGAAGUAGAGCAACAUGAAUCAUGGGUGAAAUCGCAGUGCUGCUGGACCAAGUCAUGUACGACAGGCUGCUCACCGAGGUGAGGAGGUUCAAGCAGAUAACAGUAUAACAUCCUCCGCCCUCUUUGAGCUCCUUUGGAUGUUGGAUGCAAGAACGGACCCCUGUAGGCUGGGAGAGCUUCUGAUGAUGCAACAUCAAGAAUGGACAUGGUCUGGCCGUCAGAAUGUUAACGACUGAUAUUGUUCUGCAUCCUGCAUGUGUUCAUUCUGGGCUUAUUUUGCUGUAUAUAUGUGAUUUAAGCUGUGUGAAUAUUGUAAUAGACUUAAUUAUUGCUGUUGUGAAAAAUGUU